rnacentral:antisense_RNA from 1 species
UUUUAUGGCGGUUGUACGUGGGGCACCUUCGGGUGCGCCGGGUCCUUUAAGCCGGUCUUCCACACCCACGUACGGCUGCCUCCUUC